rnacentral:rRNA from 1 species
UACGUAGGUGGCAAGCGUUAUCCGGAUUUAUUGGGCGUAAAGGGAACGCAGGCGGUCUUUUAAGUCUGAUGUGAAAGCCUUCGGCUUAACCGGAGUAGUGCAUUGGAAACUGGGAGACUUGAGUGCAGAAGAGGAGAGUGGAACUCCACGUGUAGCAGUGAAAGGCGUAGAUAUAUGGAAGAACACCAGUGGCGAAAGCGGCUCUCUGGUCUGUAACUGACGCUGAGGUUCGAAAGCGUGGGUAGCAAACAGG